rnacentral:rRNA from 1 species
AUUGAACGCUGGCGGCAGGCCUAACACAUGCAAGUCGAGCGAGCGGCGGACGGGUGAGUAAUGUCUGGGAAACUGCCUGAUGGAGGGGGAUAACUACUGGAAACGGUAGUUAAUACCGCAUACCAUUGGAUGUGCCCAGAUGGGGUUAGCUAGUAGGUGGGGUAACGGCUCACCUAGGCGACGAUCCGUAGCUGGUCUGAGAGGAUGACCAGCCACACUGGAACUGAGACACGGUCCAGACGCCUACGGGAGGCAGCAGUGGGGAAUAUUGCACAAUGGGCGAAAGCCUGAUGCAGCCAUGCCGCGUGUGUGAAGAAGGCCUUCGGGUUGUAAAGCACUUUCAGCGGGGAGGCGUUACCCGCAGAAGAAGCACCGGCUAACUCCGUGCCAGCAGCCGCGGUAAUAC